CCUACGGGGGGCAGCAGUGAGGAAUAUUGGUCAAUGGGCGAGAGCCUGAACCAGCCAAGUCGCGUGAAGGAAGACGGCCCUACGGGUUGUAAACUUCUUUUGUCAGGGAGCAAUUGCGUCUACGCGUGGGCGUAGCGAGAGUACCUGAAGAAAAAGCAUCGGCUAACUCCGUGCCAGCAGCCGCGGUAAUACGGAGGAUGCGAGCGUUAUCCGGAUUUAUUGGGUUUAAAGGGUGCGUAGGCGGAAUAUCAAGUCAGCGGUAAAAAUGCGGGGCUCAACCCCGCUGUGCCGUUGAAACUGGUGUUCUGGAGUGGGCGAGAAGUAUGCGGAAUGCGUGGUGUAGCGGUGAAAUGCAUAGAUAUCACGCAGAACUCCGAUUGCGAAGGCAGCAUACCGGCGCACAACUGACGCUGAAGCACGAAAGCGUGGGUAUCGAACAGGAUUAGAUACCCUUGUAGUC
rnacentral:rRNA from 1 species